UAAGUGAAAUCUUUUGUUACUGACCAUCUAGCUACAUGAACCAAAAAUUGUUUUGAGUGGUGGUAAGCAAACAAUUUGCUAUAAUGUAUUUGAACCUACUAACGUCUUAUAGUUAGCUACCAGAAUUCUUCGUAGAUAGUAGGUGUAUAAGAGAAUUUAUUGGUAGGCAAUUUGCUGUAUAAUCAAGUAGAAUUAGGUUGACUAUCUGUUUGCUGGUCUAGCUACGUGACAUUGUAACAAUUUUUUUUACAGAUUAAAGCCAGAUAUCAUGUCAUCAAUUGAGGGUACAAUGCAAAAAAACCUUCAAGACGAGGUGCAAGAUUGCAAUCUCCAAAUUGCUAUAGGUGUUGAGCAAAGACAGUCCGGAUCCGGGCCAAGUAAAGACCUACUAUACCGUAUAGCGCGAAAUUUUCGAGGCACUUAUAUUUCGUGGAUUGGCCUCUAAAAGCCAUUUCGUUGCACAAUGUUCGCGGAAUGACUGCUAACUGGAAGCCACGCCUUAAAUCUUUGCACGUUAUAGCAUGCAGGUAAUUAAUUAACAAUUUUCGUGGACUUAUUUUUCGUGUAAAAUUCUAACCCACGAAAUCCGCGAAAAUUAAGUCCCUCGAAAAUUUCGCGCUAUACGGUAUAUAGAGAUGAUG